UUUAGCUCAGGCAUCAGGGAUGAGCCAGCAGUCUGCUGCUGGUAGCUGGAACAACAACACCCAGCUGAGCUGCUGCUUGGAGCAUCCUUGAAGCUCUGCUUGCAAUGCCACCGCUGAUGACAUGCAGGCUACUGAGGCAGGCUGCCACUGAUGCACACAUGGACAGGAUCAUGAACUUCCUCAGGGACUGCUAGCAUUGGCUGCAUGAGAUGGUGAGACAGAACUGUCUGGCUUCAGGCAGGUUCAUGGAGGUAGUGUGACAGGAAUCACUCUGAGGCCAGGAGCCAUUCCCAGACCCGGGACAACUGGCAAAUACUUGCCAGGCUCCUUCCAAUGAUUCUAUGCCUACUGGUCAUUAGCCCCGCUCCUGCCUGGGAGCGGGACAGGCCAGUAUGGAUCCAAGUUCUGCCAUCCACCAAUUUUCAGUCAAGCUCGGAAAGUCCACCUUAGAGCUAAGGUCUUUUAGUUAGAAAUGAUUACUCCUUAGACUGAUUUUUUUUUAUGAAUCAUGCAUCACUACAGUCGUAAAAAGAAAUUCCUCUGUUGUAGUAAUUAUACACUGUUAUCUUAUAAAACCUGUUCUGUGGUUUGUUUAAUUAUGGUUAAUAUUUGGUUUAUAAAUAAAGGUUUGUAUUUCUUUGUUCGA